UACGGAGGGUGCAAGCGUUAUCCGGAUUCACUGGGUUUAAAGGGUGCGUAGGUGGACAGGUAAGUCAGUGGUGAAAUCCCCGAGCUUAACUCGGGAACUGCCGUUGAUACUAUCUGUCUUGAAUAUCGCGGAGGUAAGCGGAAUAUGUCAUGUAGCGGUGAAAUGCUUAGAUAUGACAUAGAACACCGAUUGCGAAGGCAGCUUACUACACGAUCAUUGACACUGAGGCACGAAAGCGUGGGAGCAAACAGG
rnacentral:rRNA from 1 species